rnacentral:tRNA from 1 species
GGAGAGGUGGCAGAGCGGCUUAAUGCAACGGUUUGCUAAAUCGUCGUAGUGCUUAAAGCGCUACCGGGGGUUCGAAUCCCCCCCUCUCCG